CAUCUUAACUUUUUCCACGCUAUAAAAAUACUGCAGUUUUAUUAAGUUUAUAUUGAAGAAAAGUGUCAAAUAACAAACGUUUGUGGUCUAGCGGAAGCUGUGUUUGUGGUCUAGCGGAAGCUAGACCACAAACAUGGCGAAGGGGCGGAGUAAGCGUGCGUUUUAUCACGUGGCGCGCGACCUCGAAACCUCUAUACACCUGGGCCGUGUUCGGUAACGCAGGAUUCUUGCUAAGUCUAGUUACGCCGCCGUGUCGAACUCUUUUCUAACUACCGUUCGACUCUUCCCACCGCUAGAAUUCUAGCUACUUCGGUCAGCUUCUUUUAUCUAUGCUAACUUCUACUAGCGACGUCGUUGUUUUUGUCUCGCCGUACGAUUUGUAAGAUGGCUGCUGGUGUUGGACCAAACGUAUUUUAUUAUAAGAAUCACAAAGUUAUUCUCUCAUUCUAAAAUGACUUGGAAAUGUAAAAUUAUCGUACGUCGGUAUAACAGAUUCCGAAUACAUUUUAACGGAAGAUAGCGGUCCAUUUCGUUGAUUAUAGUUAAUAAUUGCUUUAUUAAUUUCGUCACGAUCCGACGUAGCUUCUAUUUGAAUUAUUUAUUGGUUAUUUCGUCCUUUUCGACCAGUUCGUUUGCCACAAUUGUUGUCAUCGUAAUUUUAUGUUCGUCCGCCAUUUUGCCCGGUUAGAAUAAUCGUUCGAUGACGCUCGGAACAUUCUUAGCUCCGCCCACUAAGCCAUUCAGAAUUCUAACUUAGGUGUUCUGCGCUACUGAACACGACCCAGAAAACAAGACUGCAGUCACCACAAAUCUGGGUCAAGAAUAAAAAAAUGACGAGCAAUUUAAAAAUGGCAUGAAAUCAACAUGAAGAAAUUGAACACAUGGGAAAUUAUUUUUAUAAAAUUCUUUGUCAUUUUCUCAAAAACUACUAAACUGAAGGCCAGCGUAAUGCAGCGUGGCACCAAAAUAAUUCGUACGACAAUCGAUCCAGGGCCAGUGUGCCAAAACGAAGCUUAUGCCGCCGUUGUUCGCAAUUGCUGGUAAGGUAAGGGCAGAGGAAAGACGAUAACACUUUUUUAUAGGUAGGUGACAAUAGAUAUAAGUUUCGUAAUAUUUUAUGCGCAAUUAUUUAUUACCGAAAACUAUUCUCACAUAAAUACAAAUACGUAAUAAAUGUAAUGUUAAAGAAUAUAUUAAAUCAUGUAAAUCUACUUCUAAUAUAGUCGAAAUUUUCUAUUCAGCCGAUAACAUACUUGUAGCUUGUUAUGUCAAAUUUCCUGCGCCAUUGUUGAACGUAAAUAAUUUUUAAUCUAUUUUAAUUUUGAGAAAGAUCCUUCCAGUGUCCAUUGUUAGCGGAGAACGAUUUAAAAGAUUCUCAAUAAUAUAAAAACAUUGGAAAAUUUUCAAUUGUCUUUUAUGUAUGCGAGCAUAAAAUUGCUAUAUCCGACUAAUCAUACAGAAAAAAGGCACUGGGAUAAAAUAGGCUUUAUUUAAACAGAAAAUGCAUUUCGGGUAUUAUAUCCCUCUUCAGUUCUGUUUACAGCAUAUCUGGUAGUACAAAAUAUGGGCUUAAUUACGCUAUUUUUACAGAUUUAUUU